rnacentral:rRNA from 1 species
GUGGGGAAUAUUGGACAAUGGGCGCAAGCCUGAUCCAGCAAUGCCGCGUGUGUGAAGAAGGCCUUCGGGUUGUAAAGCACUUUUAUCAGGAACGAAAAGCGUUGGAUUAAUACUCUGACGUGCUGACGGUACCUGAGGAAUAAGCACCGGCUAACUUCGUGCCAGCAGCCGCGGUAAUACGAAGGGUGCAAGCGUUAAUCGGAAUUACUGGGCGUAAAGCGUGCGUAGAUGGUUCGCUAAGUCGGAUGUGAAAGCCCCGGGCUCAACCUGGGAACUGCAUCCGAUACUGGCGGACUAGAGUGUGAUAGAGGAUGGCGGAAUUCCCGGUGUAGCGGUGAAAUGCGUAGAGAUCGGGAGGAACAUCCGUGGCGAAGGCGGCCAUCUGGAUCAACACUGACGUUGAGGCACGAAAGCGUGGGGAGCAAACAGGAUUAGAAACCCCAGUAGUCC